UACGGAGGGUGCGAGCGUUGUCCGGAAUCACUGGGCGUAAAGGGCGCGUAGGUGGCGCAACAAGUCACUUGUGAAAUCUCCGGGCUUAACCCGGAGCGGCCAAGUGAUACUGUCGUGCUAGAGUGCGGAAGGGGCUACUGGAAUUCUCGGUGUAGCGGUGAAAUGCGUAGAUAUCGAGAGGAACACCUGCGGCGAAGGCGGGUAGCUGGGCCGACACUGACGCUGAGGCGCGAAAGCCAGGGGAGCGAACGGG
rnacentral:rRNA from 1 species